rnacentral:rRNA from 1 species
UACGGAGGGUGCAAGCAUUAAUCGGAUUUAUUGGGCGUAAAGGGCGCGUAGGCGGAAAGGAAAGUCAGAUGUGAAAUCCCGGGGCUCAACCUCGGAACUGCAUUUGAAACUCCCAUUCUAGAGGGUAGGCGGAGAAAACGGAAUUCCACAAGUAGCGGUGAAAUGCGUAGAUAUGUGGAAGAACACCGGUGGCGAAGGCGGUUUUCUAGCUUAUACCUGACGCUGAGGCGCGAAAGCAAGGGGAUCAAACAGG